GGCCUCGUAGCUCAGCUGGUAUAGCGUGCGUCGUACAAAAGCGUAGGCGGCGUCCAUGGGCGGGUUCGAAUCCCUCCGAGGCUA
rnacentral:tRNA from 1 species